rnacentral:misc_RNA from 1 species
GGAGGAAGAGCACUUUGGUUCAUAUCUUUAAGAACAAAGGAGAAAUUCAAAGUUGUACAAACUUUUGUGGUAUUAAAUUAAUGAGUCACGUGAUGAAUCUAUGGGAGAAAGUGAUUGAGCAUGGACUUAGUCUUAGGGAUAGUAUUAAGAUAUCGGAAAAUCAGUUUGGCUUUAUGCAUGGUAGCCGUAGAUUACCUUAGAGCUUAUCAUUUUAGUAAGAAGAUUAAUGAAAA